UACGUAGGGUGCAAGCGUUGUCCGGAAUUAUUGGGCGUAAAGAGCUCGUAGGCGGUCUGUCGCGUCUGCUGUGAAAACUCAGGGCUUAACCCUGAGCUUGCAGUGGGUACGGGCAGACUAGAGUGCGGUAGGGGAGACUGGAAUUCCUGGUGUAGCGGUGAAAUGCGUAGAUAUCAGGAGGAACACCUGCGGUGUAGACGGCUUACUGGACGGUAACUGACGCUGAGGCACGAAAGCGUGGGUAGCAAACAGG
rnacentral:rRNA from 1 species